GUUUGGUAUUAUCGUCGCGUACUUCAUUGUCGUUGCUUAUUUUGACACAUGGCGGUUGAAGUGAAUUUCUGACGUCCUGUAUGAUCAGUCAUGGUGACUUGUAGAGUGACCGUGUCAGUGUGAGACUUUUACUGGUUUAUUUUUCACAGAUUUGAUCAUGUCGUCGGCGUGGACAGCGCGCCAAGGGGAAGUGGGUGAUCUGAGCAGCAAGAGUAAAGAUCAGCUCUUGGAGAUACUGUCAAGACAAGAAAAGUUACUGUCUAAUAAGAGAUUCAUUCAGACUCUUCCAGAUAAGGGAAAGAAGAUUGCUGACUUUGUGGAGAAAGUACACCUUGCACUUGGACAUCUGGAGGAGGAGGAGAGAAAACAAGCAAGUUUAAUCUCUGUCCGGACAGAGUUUCAGGCUAAAUAUCAGCAUGCCCUUGCCGAGCGAAGCACAGAUAAGCAUUUAGACUCCAAUGUGGACAUGAUUAUCCCAUCUCGUGACAGAAACAAAGCCAAUGUCAAUAUUAAUAUGGCUGACAUACAGGAAAAUGGUGGUCUGUUGGGCCAAGAGGAGUCUUUGACAUCCAAGCUCAAGGCUGCUGGAACACUAGAAACGGCCGGUGAGAAUGCAGCAGACUCACUGAUGAAAGACACAGAGCUUGUGGAGGCGUUUGGACAAGUAACUCUUGAUGAAAGUAACAGUGGCUCCAACCAAGACGCUAUAAAGAUUGUGUCUCCUAGUAAACCCUUUCUGGGUAAUCAGCAUCAGAAGAAACCGCAUUACAUAGAAGUUCUGGAGAAGACAGAGAAAAGUGUGAAUAUAAAGAAGUCAAGAUUUAAACCAAACCAGUUAGCUGUAAAAUCUGAGUCUUCAUCGCCUAGUCAGGCCUCUGGCAGCACCACACCACUUACUGCAGAGGCCAGAAGACAACGGGACCGAAAACACCUGGAUGACAUCACUGCUGCUAAGCUUCCACCCCUGCACCACAGUCCCGCCCAGCUGCUGCCAUUAGAGGAAUCAGCUGCCCUUCUGCAAGAGCAGACCAGAAAACACCUGGAGUUGCAGGCCAAACAAGCUGCCCAGAAGCUGGCAGAUGGUUUGAGUUUCAAGAUGGAGAGUUACAACCCCGAAGGAGGACCACUGGCAGCCUACCGAGAGGUGCAUGAUGAUGGGGCCCAGCUUUCCUCAGAGGAGGACUAAUCGUGGGGCCCUACAGGGAGGGCACUGGCUUGUUGAUAUGUUUGGCCCCUUGCCCUGGACCAGCUCUAGGCCUACAGCCCAUGCUUCAGGACCCUGGAGAGAGGCUUUCAGCCUGAGGACAAGAGAAGGGCUCUUCGUGAACUGCACUGACAAUGUCUAAGAUUCUGCCGUUGAAGAUAAACAACAGCAGGUUGAAUCAAGUUGAGAGUAAUUGUAUGAAAAUGGACCGUUUUUGCAUGUGGAAACGUUAUGUCCAACAGUAACAGAUUAUCUUGGCAAGCUAAUGGCAAAAAAAACCUGAUACCUCGGCAAGUCCGCACCUGUUGUCUUGUACGGAAUAAUAGAAUUUGAAGCUUUUAUCAGCCAUUCCUUCAAGGGUGUAGUUCUGAAGAUGGUAAUAGAAUAUUUUUGUAUGACCUUUCUUAGUGUUUAUUUAAAAAACCCUCUGAAUUGACCUUUACAGCUUGUGAUCGGUUCUUUGAGUUGGAUAACUGAAACCGCAGUUUCAUAAACUAAAGGUGGAAGCACUUAAUGUUUUGUCACUUGAGUGCAACAGCCCGGGAAAUGUCGGUCUCCCUCCCUUUUUGCAGCAUUGUUUUGAUAACCGCCCCACUGGUUUGAUUGGAAUGAGUCAGCUGUCGUUUGAAGGGAGGGAUGUUGUUAUCAGUGCAGAAAUCUGUGACAUGCCUCAGAUGAUUAAUAUAUGUAAUGUGAAAUAUCGAGGCUUGAAGGAAUUAGACCAAUUGGUGGAGUACAUCUGGAUUUUAUUUAGAUCAUGUUACUGCAUCAAAUGGCAAUGCAUUCUGGGAUGGCAACAGAUAGACAGACAUGACAUAUGGUAAAUGCCGUUUCCAACGCUAAUAAAACUUCUUAAAAUUCACUCUUUUAACUUCUCAGGGUGUAAACAACAUAUUUUCUUUACAUGUUAUUCAGGAAUCUUUAUAUUUAAAAGUAGAGAAAGGAGCUUGAAGAGAGGGAGGAAAUCCAAAUCUGCGCCGCUCUGCAGUUGAUGACCUGUGAUAACCUCUAGUAAUUGCUUCUGCCCGUUGAUGGGAACUGCUGCCUCAGAAAAAAGAUCCUAACACAUCUGGCAGAUUUCACAUGCAGCGUGGGACCUCUUCACAGACAGAUGGUGUCGCUCACAUGAACGGUGCCCUGUUCAAUAUCAGAUUCGUUCUGUGUGGAUACUCAGGCAUGGCUCUUCGGGAGAGGGAGGAACCCUGCAAAAGUGACAGGUCAUUUGACGCCCCCCGCUGAUCUCAUGUCUCAUCGUGCUUUGAUAAGCAUUGUGAAUUUCAGAGGCAGGAAGAGAGACGACACACAAAGUGACUUGCUCCGCAGGACUUAAAGGGUGGAGUGUUUUUUUUGUUUUGUUUUUUUCCCUCAGACCCUCUUCAGGAAGAGAAAUAUGUCACCACAGACGGUUCUUGAAGUACCUUUAAUGGCCAAACGUAAUCCUGGACGUUCAUUAGUUACAAGACAUUCUUUAAACAUUAAUAAUGCUUUGUUCCCUCGAGAGCAUCUUUUUCAAAAGCUCCCGCAGAGUGCCCCACUCAUAUUUUGACAGGUUUGCGUGCAGUAAAUUUCCGCAGAUAGUCAUUUCACAAGAUGAUACAGUUCCCAUUGAUGUUAUAUUCAUCAUCGGCUUAAAAUACCCCCUCUCUCGUAUUCUCUCUCUCUUCCUCCUCAUUACUUCCCAAAAAUAAUCACAAACAUGUGAUACCCAGACAGACUGUAUAAAAGCACCUCACAGCAAAGGCUCUUCUCAGUGUCAGAACUGUCUUUGCUUAUCUAGUGCUUUCAGCUCAAGCUUUGACAGCUCCAGCUUGUUCUCCCACUUACUUUCCUCCUGGUUUCUUCAGCAUAACCACUUCUAAUUCCUUACAGAAAACUGAAAACAAACUAAAGAAGCAUUUCAGGAUAAAUCGUAAGACUUAGUAAUAAGAUCAGUUCAGUGACACUCAUCUAUUAGGAAUUACAAUGAACAAUACUUUUAUAGCAUUUAAUAAUCUAGGUUAGACAUUUGCAUUUGUCUUAUUUUUGUACAUUGUAAUGAAUAUUUGUUUGUGUUCCAUUUAUUUAUAUACCCAUUUAUAACUUCUUUUGGUCAAAAGUUUACAUACACCUUGCAGAAUCUGCUAAAUGUUAAAUAUUUUACCAAAAUAAGAGGAUUUUUUUUAUUUAGUACUGACCUGAAUAAUAUACUUCAUAUAAAAGAUGUUUACGUAUAGUCCACAAGAGAAAAUAAUAGUUGUUUUUAUAAAAAUAAAAGUUUGCAUACACUUGAUUCUUAAUACUCUGUUGUUACCAGAACCAGAACUGUUGUUACUCUGUGUGGAUCAUUCUGAUAGUUGUUCAUGAGUCACUUUAAGUUAAACUGCACACUGUUCUUCAGAAAAUUUCUUCAGGUCCCACAGGUUCUUUGUUUUUUCAGAAUUUUUGUGUAUUUUAACCAUUUAUAGCAAUGACUGUAUGAUUUUUAGAUCCAUCUUUUCACACUGAGGACAACUGAGGGAUUCAUUUGCAACUAUCACAGAAGGUACAAAGGCUCACUGAUGCUCCAGAAGGAAACACAAUGCAUUAAGUGGGGGUCCCUGAGUCCCUCAGUUGUCCUCAGUGUGAAAAGAUGGAUCUCAGAAUCAUACAGUCAUUGUUGGAAAGAAUUC